UAUAUUAUAGUGUAAGAAGCACGUGAAUUUUUGAUGUUUUUAGAGGUAGUUUAAUUCUACUUAAUAUAG
rnacentral:tRNA from 1 species